rnacentral:rRNA from 1 species
UACCAGCACCCCCGAGUGGUCGGGACGAUUAUUGGGCCUAAAGCAUCCGUAGCCGGUUUUACAAGUCCUCCGUUAAAUCCAGCUGCUUAACAGAUGGGCUGCGGAGGAUACUAUAAGACUAGGAGGCAGGAGAGGCAAGCGGUACUCAGUGGGUAGGGGUAAAAUCCGUUGAUCCAUUGAAGACCACCAGUGGCGAAGGCGGCUUGCCAGAAUGCGCUCGACGGUGAGGGAUGAAAGCUGGGGGAGCAAACCGG